ensembl:lncRNA
AAGGUAACAUCCAUACAUGGCUGCGAUGCGCUCAGUUUACUACAACUGAGCUGCUGAGCACUGGCUGAGGACGCAGUGUGCAUUCUGUUAAUUAAUCUGAUCCAGUCUGUGUCAGUGCAAGGCUUCCCCAUACAUGACGUUGGCUUUUUUUUGUUAUAAUUCUGUAUGAAAAAGCAAGCAGACAGAUAGCCUUUUAACCACCCAACAGCCUGGAAAGGCAGGGGAAGCCGACUGGACUGCUUGUUGGAGGCAUGGAGCAGGAACAAGGAAUGUCAGUUCUGCCACUUAUUCACUAUUUGACUCUGGACGAAGCAUCUACCCUCUGCACACCUAAUUUCAUUAAAAACAAAUCAGGAGGGUAUGCCAAGGUUAUUGUUUUCUAAUUACCCAGAGCCCUUCCUUGCAUGGAAGGCCUUUCAGAGAAGGGAUUCGCUCAGAAAAUAGUAAUCCAUCAUUCAGGUGCCAAGAAAUCACAAAAAUGCAGGCUGAGCCAUGAACAAGCUGUGUCACCAAAGCAUAUUUCUGCUUCAGUGUGACAAACACCUGAGCAAACAAGCUGUGGGAAUAAACAUAAUCAAAGGUUAUUAGUUAAUAGGGACUAAUCUCCCACAAACACUUGUGUACUGAAGCAGGCUCUUUCAAAAACACAGGUUCGGUCGCAGAAGGAAUUCAGCUAAUCUGGAGUUUGUUUUCUCCUGCCUGCUGUGUGGUAUGUGGUAAAAAUCACACACCGGGUCUUCCUGGCAAACCAGAAUUGCUUUUGUUGAUGUCCAUUUCUCCAUCUCUGCUCAGAAGCAAUCGUGGGUUUGGAUGUGCUUAGAUAGCAUCACUCGUAUGCUAUGCAAGAGAGAGAACAGGUUCUGCUCCCUAGGAGAAGACACAGCCCCUGCCUCCUCCUCAGUAUCUGUGCAGCAGGCUCUAAGGCUGCUCCCCAAACCAGGUAAGAUGCUCAAGUGCUUACAAAGGAAAGGCUUUAUGUGUUAUUUCUGUCUGUCCCUAACUGUUCCAACGUGAGCCCCACAGCAGCAGCACGGAAGGACCUGCCUUUCUUACUGAAGCCCACAGGACUGUCUAUGAGCCUCAAGUCAAACCCAUGCUUAAGUAGCUGUUACAUGAAGUCCCACCACAGCUGGGGACUGUGUCAGUGAUGAAGUCACCCCCGACCUCUGCAUCUCAGCCUGAAACACUUUGUUGCCCAAAAAUGCAGCUUUUUUUAAGAAUUAACUCAUCUAACAUCAAAUGGAUUUCAUUAUCUUUCCACAGAAUGAAUCAAUAAUAGCGGGCAGAGAUCCUAAUGCCAUUUACCAGCAUUAGUUUACACUCUUUGUGGAAAUCUCCUUUCUCGUGGAUUACAGUAAAGCAGAAUUUAUCAGGACUGCAGAGAAGCUGGGGGCAUCGCUUUUGGUUUCUGAUCACAGCUCUACCUUCCUCCACCAAGAAAACAGCAAAUGAUUAGUCAUAUAGUACUUAUUGAUUUACUAGUCUUCGUUUAUAAAAUUAUGUUUCCCAGGAUUGUUCUUUUUUUUAUUAUUAUUAUUAUUAUUACUGAAGCAAAUUGUAACACACUAAAUUGGAAGCUGGUUAACUCCUCCCUAUCUCUGCUUUUAUAGCUCAUUUUCUCUCUGAUUGAACAAAAGCCAUUAAGUGAGAACUGUUUUUUCUAAACACAGGAAAUAAAAGGCAGGCUUCAUAAGGAUGUAUCA